UUGAGCUAUGCAUUUAACCUUAUUAGCCAGCUUGUCAAUAUUAUUUGGAUAUAUCCUCCCUAAAAAAAGUCUACUUUGGACAAACUCAGAGUACCUGCUCGAUAGGGUUCUUAAGUGAUCAAUAUUGCCACUUCACAUCAACCACCUUCUUCCAUCAAGUUGUGGUAUAAUUAAAUUGUGAGCUGUACUCAAGAAAAAUACUAAAAACGCAUUUAACAGCACCAAGCC
rnacentral:lncRNA from 1 species